AGAAGAGAAGCCAUUGCAUAAUGCAGAUUGUGCUGUCCCUGGAAGAGAGCAUCAGCGAUCACAAGCCCAGAAAGGCCAGAAAGGUAAUAUACUGAAGAUGCUCAGGGACAACAUCGUGGAGAAGCCCCUGCAGCAAC